rnacentral:rRNA from 1 species
GACGAACGCUGGCGGCGUGCUUAACACAUGCAAGUCGAACGAUGAAGAAAAGAAUUGAAGCUUCGGCAGAAAUUCAUUUCGGAUUAGUGGCAGACGGGUGAGUAACGCGUGAGCAACCUACCUCUUACAAAGGGAUAGCCUCGGGAAACCGGGAUUAAUACCAUAUAACAUUGCGACGAAGCAUUUCGAUGCAAUCAAAGCUACGGCGGUAAGAUAUGGGCUCGCGUCCCAUUAACCAGAUGGUGAGGUAACGGCUCACCAUAGUAACGAUGGGUAACCGGGCUGAGAGGGUGAACGGUCACACUGGAACUGAGACACGGUCCAGACUCCUACGGGAGGGAGCAGUGGGGAAUAUUGCACAAUGGAGGGAACUCUGAUGCAGCGACGCCGCGUGAGUGAUGAAGGAAUUCGUUUCGUAAAACUCUGUUCUAUGGGAAGAAAAGGACUGUACCAUAGGAGAAAGCUCCGGCUAAAUACGUG